UACGUAGGGUGCGAGCGUUAAUCGGAAUUACUGGGCGUAAAGCGUGCGCAGGCGGUCUGUUAAGACCGAUGUGAAAUCCCCGGGCUUAACCUGGGAACUGCAUUGGUGACUGGCAGGCUUUGAGUGUGGCAGAGGGAGGUAGAAUUCCACGUGUAGCAGUGAAAUGCGUAGAGAUGUGGAGGAAUACCGAUGGCGAAGGCAGCCCCCUGGGCCGACACUGACGCUCAUGCACGAAAGCGUGGGGAGCAAACAGG
rnacentral:rRNA from 1 species